ACAUGGUACAUGUGGUCUUCCCAAUGUUGGGCAGGCUCAGUUCCUAAUCUCUUUGGCUCCAGAGGAUCUUGAACUAUCACAAUCACUGCUGACACCAGAUUGUGCCAGAAAUGCCUUUUCAGGUCAUUAAUGAAUGGCAGUGGGAAACUGGAACAUACCCAUGAUCCUCAGAAAAUCAGACCCAGGAUGAGGAUUUUAGAGCCAGAGGGACCUUACCAAAUAUACAGCAACUCUUGAAUUUUGCAGAUGAGAACACUGAAGCCAAAGGAUCAGGAUUCAAGGAUCUGCCCAGGUCAAGUGAUUAUUUAGUGAAUCUGGGACCAGAACUGGUUCUCUUUCCUAGAAUGAAGGCUGAAAAUUCAGCACACUAGUUGUGAAUACUGGGGAAAAGAAAGAGAGGGGAUGAAAUACUCAAGAAAGUCUCCCAAUACAGAUAGGAUUGAGAGGAAAGACAAGUAGAUGCAAUGUACACAUAGCCAGAGAAAAGAGCCAGUAUGUGAACCAAGACUGAAAACACAGAUCUCGGGUGGGCUAAAGCAACUCAGUAAGUGACUUCCCAGAUUGUGUUUUGUUCCCAUUGCACAUACAGUUGGAAGCCAAAUGCAAGCCACCAAGGUUGCAGUGAAACAGUGAACAAUUAUAGCACAAAUAGUUGUGGGCAGCUGUGGGAGUGCAAGCCACCUGCUCCAAGUUUACAGCUUUGUUAAACUUGGUAAAUAUUAAAAAUGGACUAGGAAUGCUCCCAGUUUGUACAGCAUCCCAUACCCUUCCUGGGAGGCCUUACUCGGGGAGCUGAGGUGACCUUGCCUUUGACCAAGCUCUUCUCACUGUGGCCUAGAACUGCUUUCUCUUGAUAGAUGUCAGUGUUGUCAAUAGUCUCUGGGAGAGACUGAGGGAAAUAUGGAGCAUUACAGAAGCAUAUAUUCAUAGAGUUUGAGGGAAUUGCAGAGCCCCCAGAAUAUAAUGUCUCUUUUAAUAAAUGUUCAGAUAAGGAAACUGAAAUCCAAGAGAUGAUGUGUCCAAAGUUAUAAAAUUUUGGGGCAGAACAGACGCUUGACCUCUGAACUUUUGACCCUUUGCUCAGUGCUCCUCCCUUUUAGUCCCGUGAGGUUUAUAGAUGCUGACAAACAGGGAGAUACAGCAUCACAGAAUAUUACAGCUGAAAGGGGCAUGGUUCUCAACUACCAGGGUUUUUGUUUGUCACAUGACUAGGGAGUGCUAUUGGCAUUUAGUGGGCAGGGACCCAGGGUGCAAAUAAGUAGCUUGAAAUGAGAUCAUCCUUCAUAAUGAAUUGUCUUGUCCAGAUACCAAAAAUGCCCUUGUUGAGAAAUACCUUAUCUACCACUUGACUUUACAGUUGAGCCUAAAGACCAGGAAGGGCUUGACCAGAGUCCCAAAGGGAGUCAGCAGUCCAUGGACUCCAUCCCACUGAGCCCCCAAGUGAAUUAGCAGCAGGAAAGAGGCAGCUCUAGCUCCCUACCCCCCUACCCCCGCCCCAACUCCCCCAUCCAGCUCCUGCUGCACUUGCUCUUAAGCCAUUUCUAGGUCUGCACUUACUUGGACUUCAGGCCCUCCUGUCCAUAGGGCUGCAGCAGAUACUGGUGCACAAGCUUAUCCCUGAGAGUUCCAGCCAGUUUGAUUUUCUUUCUUGAUCGGUGCAGGUUGAUGAUAAAAAGCGUAAUGGACCCUCGAACAUAGUUGUGGCUGAGAUGGAGAGAGAGAAGGGGAAAAUGGAAAUAAAGUGGUCAGUUAGAUGCUGCUAAAUAAUUUAUAGACUGCACCAAACAGGACUGCCCCAGGAAAGGGCACUGAUUUUAUGGUUCUUGGUCACUCUUGACCUUCAAAGACAGGAAGGCCUUGUUACUGUGGUUUCUUGCAAAGAAGAUACCAACUUCCCACCACACUCUUUUUGUUUUUGUUUAAAUGUAUUACAAUGAUUUUAGAAAACAAAAUAUCUUUUUCUGAGUGUGAAAAAAACAUGCAGACUGCAGAGAAUAAAAAGGAAAAAUACAGAGAAAUACAAAAAGGAAAAGAAAAUUCUCCCAUAGUCCAAGUAUCUUGCGAUAUGAUACAAUUUUGUGAUGCUCCUCCCUGUGGGAAGAUUUUCUGCCCUGAUGUGGAACCCUAAGGAUCAUAUGAUUGCCUUUGGCCAAUGAAACAUGGAUGGACAUGUUAAAAUCUUUGCAUGGAUUUAAGAGGCUGCCUAUGUUUUGCCAUGUCUCUUUUCCCUGUGCCAGAAGACCAACAAUGUUCUUGACAGAGGCUAUUUUAUUGACUUGCGUCCUGGAACAAAGAUGAUGUGGAGCAGAGCUACAGCUGAGCCAUGACAGACAAGUAGUAUGAAUGAGAAAUACACUUUCUUAUUGAAAGCCA